AANGAUUUAGGUUAACUAAACCAAGAGCCUUCAAAGCUUUAAACAAGAGUGCAAAUCUCUUAUUCCUUA
rnacentral:tRNA from 1 species